rnacentral:rRNA from 1 species
CCUACGAGUGGCAGCAGUGGGGAAUAUUGCACAAUGGGGGGAACCCUGAUGCAGCGACGCCGCGUGAGUGAAGAAGUAUUUCGGUGUGUAAAGUUCUAUCAGCAGGGACGAAGACGAUGGUAACGGACUAAGAAGCAACGGCUAAAUACGUGCCAGCAGCCGCGGCAAUACGUAGGGGGCAAGCGUGCACCGGAUUUACUGGGUGUAAGGGGGGCGUGGACGGGUAUGCAAGUCUGAAGUGAAAGCCCAGGGCUCAACCCUGGGACUGCUUUGGAAACUGUAUGACUGGAGUGCAGGAGAGGGAAGCGGAAUUCCUAGUGUAGCGGUGAGAUGCGUAGAUAUUAGGAGGAACACCAGUGGCGAAGGCGGCUUACUGGACUGUAACUGACGUUGAGGCUCGAAGGCGUGGGGAGCAAACAGGAUUAGAUACCCGUGUAGUC